CAGCCGCCACGGGAAUACGAAGGGGGCUAGCGUUGCUCGGAAUCACUGGGCGUAAAGGGUGCGUAGGCGGGUCUUUAAGUCAGGGGUGAAAUCCUGGAGCUCAACUCCAGAACUGCCUUUGAUACUGAAGAUCUCGAGUUCGGGAGAGGUGAGUGGAACUGCGAGUGUAGAGGUGAAAUUCGUAGAUAUUCGCAAGAACACCAGUGGCGAAGGCGGCUCACUGGCCCGAUACUGACGCUGAGGCACGAAAGCGUGGGGAGCAAACAGGAUUAGAUACCCCAGUAGUCCCUGUCUCUUAUAC
rnacentral:rRNA from 1 species